AUUGUACUCGCUCCGUCUGAAAAUACUUGUCCUUAAAAUGGAUAAAAAGGGAUGUAUCUAGACAUAUUUUAGUUCUAGAUAUAUCUAUUUUUAUCCAUUUUAAUGACAAGUAUUUCCAGACGGAGAGAGUACUAU
rfam:Triticum urartu cultivar G1812 contig279839, whole genome shotgun sequence.